rnacentral:rRNA from 1 species
AGAGUUUGAUCCUGGCUCAGAAUCAACGCUGGCGGCGCGCCUAACACAUGCAAGUCGAACGAGAAAGUGGAGCAAUCCAUGAGUACAGUGGCGUACGGGUGAGUAACACGUGGGUAAUCUACCUUUUAGUGAGGAAUAACCCUGGGAAACCGGGGCUAAUACCGCAUAAGCCUGAGAAGGGAAAGUCGAAAGACGCUGAAAGAGGAGCCCGCGGCCGAUUAGCUAGUUGGUGAGGUAAGAGCCCACCAAGGCAGAGAUCGGUAGCCGGCCUGAGAGGGCACACGGCCACACUGGCACUGAAACACGGGCCAGACUCCUACGGGAGGCAGCAGUGGGGAAUCUUGCACAAUGGGGGAAACCCUGAUGCAGCGACGCCGCGUGAGCGAUGAAGCCCUUCGGGGUGUAAAGCUCUUUCGUCAGGGAAGAUAGUGACGGUACCUGGAGAAGCAGCUGCGGCUAACUACGUGCCAGCAGCCGCGGUAAUACGUAGGCAGCAAGCGUUGUUCGGAGUUACUGGGCGUAAAGGGUGUGUAGGCGGUUCUUUAAGUUUGGUGUGAAAUCUCCCGGCUCAACCGGGAGGGUGCGCCGAAUACUGAGGGACUAGAGUGCGGGAGAGGAAAGUGGAAUUCCUGGUGUAGCGGUGAAAUGCGUAGAUAUCAGGAGGAACACCGGUGGUGUAGACGGCUUUCUGGACCGUAACUGACGCUGAGACACGAAAGCGUGGGUAGCAAACAGGAUUAGAUACCCUAGUAGUCC